UACGUAGGGUGCAAGCGUUGUCCGGAAUCAUUGGGCGUAAAGCGCGCGUAGGCGGCCCCGUAAGUCCGCUGUGAAAGUCAAAGGCUCAACCUUUGAAAGCCGGUGGAUACUGUGGGGCUAGAGUCCGGAAGAGGCGAGUGGAAUUCCUGGUGUAGCGGUGGAAUGCGCAGAUAUCAGGAGGAACACCAAUAGCGAAGGCAGCUCGCUGGGACGGUACUGACGCUAAGGCGCGAAAGCGUGGGGAGCGAACAGG
rnacentral:rRNA from 1 species